UCAAAAUCAUAUCUUGUAAUUUAUUGCAAUUAUAUCAUAGGCUAGCAACAUCAAAAAUAUAAAUGUCGGAGGUUCACUUUUAGGUGUUUGCAGUGACAAUGUGGACAGCUUAUAAAUUUGAAAAAGUAUCUUUGAAAUUUUGCAAGUUCAGAAAUUUUUCACUGUUUUUAUUAUUGCAAAAAUUGUUUUUUAUUAUUGCGAAAAUUAAUACUCGGUAGCUUUUACAAAAAUGAAAACACACAUUUGAAAUUAUUAUAUGUAUGCAGCAUUUCAGGAAUUUGUAAUAAUUAAUAUCAUAUUUUUGUACAUUACUCAACAAUCGCAAUAAUUUUUGCAUCCAAGCAUUUCUGAUUCAAUGUACAGUACAUGUGCAAAACAUGUAAUAUUUUGAAUAUUGUUUUUCUAAUAAUAAAUAACUUGUAUAUGGUAAUUCAAACUCAUGUGUAAGCAUGUCUAUAUAAUGCAGCAAUGAUAUCAACAAUCCUUCUCAUACUUUACAAAAUCAGAGGAACAUCGCUUUUAUGGCUGUUCUUCUGUUUAAAAUCAGUCUUGAUACUUUAUAAUUAUAUUUUAUUACUCUUCAUUGUAUAUUGAGAUUAUAUUUAUGUUCUUGGUUUUUAUUUCAUAACAUUUUAUAUUGUUCUAAUACUAAAUUGUGAUUUAAAUUGUAUUGUAUCAGUGCAUAAUUUUUAUGAAUUUUACAUGCAAUUUCUAUGAAUUGUCCCUUGUCAUUUAUUUUAUUAUAUAGAUCUUAUUGUUGCUGUAAUGAUAUUUCCCCAUAUUUCAAUAUAAAAGUGUAUUGUUUUGUAUAAAUACAGCCUUUCUUUUUUUCCCUUGCAAUGAUAGACUUGGAAGUGAGACUGUGUCCUACAUCAUUAUCCAUGGUAUCAACCAGAUUCGGUUAAACCGGAAACAUAAUUAUUAUCUCUUAGUUUAGUGUAUUAAGUUUUUCAAUACUUUCUUAUCUUAUAAACAGAUUGUACAGUUUCAAGUUUACAUUUUGUAAUUUUUAAUUCUUUGGCAAUUUUUCUGUUUUUUUGCCCAUUAUUUUAUAUUACUAACAUUCUAACAGCCAAUUAUUCUCCAUUCUAUAUUCUUUAAAGUUUUAGGUCAUUUUUCUCUUUCCUUGAUUAUUUUAUGACCCAUUAUUCUCUAUUCUGUACACCCAAUCUAAACCCUCAUUUAAGACCUUAUGUUUUCCUGAAAAUCCAGCAAAUUUGUUACUUUAAUAUUAUAAACUGUAAUUUCAGGAAUAAAUUUGAAGUUGAGUUUGAAAUAUUGUGAAAAAGUAGUCCUGAUGAAGGUUAAUCCAGAAAAUGGCUCAGAAGCGCCAAAUUUAUUAAGUGUUGCUUUCAUAUACUUUUAUUGAUAAUUACAUUUUAAUUUACAAUUGUAAUAUUCUACUGUAACAUGUGCAGGUAUCAUAUAAUCAAUCACACCUUAUUGUCAAUUAUUGAAUGUUUGUAUAUUGUAUAACUGUAAAGGAGUAGGCCUGGUAAGACCCCUGUUUGGCCCCAAAAUAUAGCAUUUUUACAAAUUUGUUGAAAAUGUAAACUCUAGCUAUUUAUUGGAAAGUUGAAUACUUUUGUUACAUAAAUAUUGGCUGUUUUUGGACAAUAAAAUACACAUGCAUCAUGUACUAGCAACAUUAUUUCAUGCAAAAUUACUGAAAUUUUAGCAUUUGUGCUAAUAAUUUUUAGAAGCUUUUUGUCUAAAAUGGAAGUAGCCGCACUUGUGUCAAAUCUUAAUAUUUGAAUAUACAUGUAUGUAGUAUUUGAUGAUACUACAUAAGAUGUAUAAAGGUUGAGACAGAACACGAAUGCGGCCACUAACAUUUUAGACAAAAACCAUCUGAAAAGAGACGCUUUAUAGCAUAUUAGGUAGAUUUUCAUACGACCGCAAAAAAAAUUUGUGGUCGUAUAUUGGUAUGACGUUGGCGGCGUCAUCGUCGUCGUCCGAAGACGCAUUGGUUUUCGCACUCUAACUUUAGUUUACGUGAAUGGAUCUCUAUGAAAUUUUACCACAAGGUUCAAUACCACAAAAGGAAGGUUGGGAUUGAUUUUGGGGGUUAUGGUACCAACAGUUCAGGAAUUAGGGGCCAAAAUGGGGCCAAAAAUAAGCAUUUUUGAAAGUUCCAGGCAUAACUUGUGUGUUAGUGUAUGGAUCUCUCUGACAUUGUACCACAAGGUUCCAUAUCACAAAAGGAAUGCUGGGAUUGAUUUUGGGGGUAAUUGCCUCAAAUUUUAGGAAUUAGGGGCCAAAAAAGGGGCAAAAAACAAGCAUUUUUCUAGUUUCAUGACAAUAACUUGUGUGUAAGUGUAUGGAUCUUUCUGAAAUUGUACUACAAGGUUCCAUAUCACAAAGGGAAAGCUGGGUUUGAGUUUGGGAGUAAUUGCCCUAAACGUUUAGGAAUUUGGGGCCAAAAAGGGCGAAAAAACAAGCAUUUUUCUAGUUUCCAGACAAUAACUUGUGUUCAAGUGUACGGAUCUCUCUGAAAUUGUACUGCAAGGCACCAUACAUUGUAACACAAAGGGAAGGCUGGGAUUGAGUUUGGGGGUGAUGAAUCAUAAGGGGGUUCAAAAAAUUUGAGGGGGGAUUUUUUCCUUUUUUUUCUUUAAAAGAAAAUUUUCCAUUUUAAAUUGGUUGUUUCUGAUUUAUAUAUAAAAGCAAAUAAUAAUGAUAUGGUUUGAAAAGGUAAAUUAAAAAUUUUUUAAGUUCUUAGACCACAUUCAUUCUGUGUCAGAAACCUAUGCUGUGUCAAAUAUUUAAUCACAAUCCAAAUUCAGUGCUGUAUCAAGCUUGAAUGUUGUGUCCAUACUUGCCCCAACAGUUCAGGGUUCGACCUCUGCGGUCGUAUCAAGCUGUGCCCAGCGGAGCAUUUUAUAUAUAUUUAAGCUUGCAUUUGAGGGUCAAAUUUUAAUGACCAAAUCAGUUCAAAUCUUUUACAUAAACUAAUUAAAUCGACUGAAGUAGACACUUAAGUGUUUAAAAAAUGUCAAAAAUCUUUCAUCAGAUGUAUUUCAAAUUUUAGGCCAAAUAUAGCUUUACUGGACCGGACCUUCUCCUUUACUGAAUUUUCAGUUAUUAAUCAUGAAAAAUAUUUUUAUAUUAAAUUUGUUGAAUGGGCCUCUUUCUUGUUCAGUUUAAUUUGAAGUUAGUGUUUUUUGUCAUUAGUAUAGAUCAGUAGAAUUAUUGAAAUAUUUUUCAGUAUAACUUAAAAACAUGCUACGCUCCUUUUGCUAAAAAUUGUUACAUGUGUGUGAUUCACUGACAAAAUUUUAAAAAAAUAAUCCCUACAGAAAAAUAAAAUGUCGAAGAUCAAAGAUUGCAAAGUUGUGAUAUAAAGAGUGCAAUUAUAUAAAUAAAACAAUCAACAUGUUUUAGUUAAUUUAUUUUACCGUACUUUAAUUGAUCAAGGUAUCAUUUUUUGUCAAACAGUGAGCACAAUAAUCGGUCAUAUUUGUUUUUUCGUAAAUUGUUUUGUUAUAAAUUAGGCCAUUAGUUUUCUCAAUUGAAUUGUUUCAAUCUUUCAUGUCGGGACCUUUUAUAGCCAACUAUACGGUAUGGGUUUUCCUCACAAGGCCGUAUGGUUGCCUAUAUAAUAUUGAGAGGUCCCAUCAUGUUAAAGUCAUCACCAAUGAAAUGAGUCAAUACAGUAACAUGUGCAAGUCAUCACCAAUGAAAUGAGCCAAUACAGUAACAUGUGCAAGUCAUCACCAAUGAAAUGAGCCAAUACAGUAACAUGUAGAAAAAACUAUAUGCAGAUCUCUUGAUGUUUAUUUAUGCUUUUAUUCUGUGGUAGGAUGUUUCUCUUAUUGAUGUUACACCACAUUACUUUUCUCAUAAUUAUGUACCUUUUUAAAAAUAAUUUGUCGAUCUGUCCUUGAAUCUUGAAAGUUCAUUCUUUAACCAAUGAAUGGAUUUCAAGGAGAAAUCAUUUCAAAGAAUUAUAGCAUGUUACCACGAAUUUCAAUUUAAACACAAAUAUUUAUUUUAAAAAGACCAUAGUUUCAUUAUAAGAUGUGAUCAUACAGGUGUGACCGAUAAUUGGCAGAUUCCAUAUAAGAAAUUGAAAUGUCUGUCAAAAUGAAUAAAUAAAUAAAAAUAAUAAUUACUGUUAUUUUAAAGAUAAUCUGUGAAUGUUUUGAAGAAUAAUGAUGUUAGAAGAAAUUAUAAAAAUAAUUUUUGGAUAUGAUUGUUUCCAUUUAAAGUAGAAAUGAUUAAAAAAAGUUGAAAAAAUGCAAAGAUUUUGACAGAAUUAACUCCCAUUUUUUUACACAAUGUUUAUGUGUUGCAAUGCUUUAUGUUGACACUUGUAUACUGGUAUUUACUAGUGUAGUCUGCUUAUUCAAACAUCCCUGUUCCCAAAUUUGUUACUUUUUUUAGUCAAAAACAUCUGUGAUAUAUAUUUUUUUUCACUUUCAAAUAUCUUGCUUUAUAGCUCAGUGUCUGUCAAUAAAUCUUAUGUCAGGAACAUCGCUGUAAAAACUUUCAAAAUCAUUGUAGGUUCCAAUAUAUGCCAGUUAAAACUGUAAGUCAUGCUGUGCAUAAGAAAAAACACAUGUUGAUUCUUUCAUUUAACUUUAUUCAAGCAAUAGUUUUAACUUAUAUGUUUCCUACAUAAGAUCUGUCAAACUUGUUUUCUUAUGUCUGAAACAUUUGAAUGUGCUAACAGUUAAAGUUCUUUGACCUGUAGUGAAAUCUUGUUAGAUGUUAGGCUGCAGUAAUUUCCAGGAGUUUUAAAAAUGACUUUCAACUAGGAUUUGAUUUCCAAUGUCUGUCAAAAAAAACAAAUAUAUAUUGUCUGUCAAAAUAUCUAAUGUAUGAAAAAUCUUAUGUCAGAAUCAAGUCUGUCAAAAUCUUAUGUCAGAAACCCAAUUUGUCUGUCAAAUCUUAUGUCAUAAAUAAUAAAGUCUGUCAAAUCUUAUGUCAGAAAAAAUAAAGUCUGUCAAAUCUUAUGUCAGAAAAAAUAAAGUCUGUCAAAUCUUAUGUCAGAAACAAUAAAGUCUGUCAAAUCUUAUGUCAGAAACAAUAAAGUCUGUCAAAUCUUAUGUCAGAAACAUAAUAUUUAAGGCUUCGUUUAUUUAAAAAGGAUGAUGCUCAUAAUUUUUUUUUUGGUCAAAUUGUCUUUAUCUUUAUUAGUAAAGCAUGUAUUCAAAAACAGAAGUUCAUUGCUUAUGAUUUUUGCCUAACGUGCUUAUGGGAGUUGUUUCACUUUCUUAUAUGGAAUCUGCCAAUUAAGAUAUUGAGGUAUCAUACACGUGAACUAUAUAUGCCUUCCAUGCAAUUUCCGAAAUUCAGUAUGCAAACGCUUCAAAUUUGGGUAUUUAAGUCCGGCGUUUUAAAAAAAUUAUUCAUUCUCUGUGAACAUGGUACGAAUAUCAGAGGCUCAAAGAUGGCAAAUUAUCAGCAUGCGGUCAACAGGGAUGCAGAAAUAACAAUGAUCCUAUGGUUUAAUGCAAUCAGCAGGCCAAAUGUGUAUUAGAUUUGAUAGACGAGCGUCAUGACAUUUAAAUAAGGCAUCAUCUCAAAAGUAUGAAUUUAUAUUGACUCAAUCAGCAUAAUUAUGAGUAGCAAUGCUAAAAAACUAUUUGUUUAAGCAAACAAUUGUAAGUGACGGUCUUUCCACCUUUCCCUGUCAUAAAUGUUUACCGAACAUGUUUUACUCCCAACAACUGAUGAAAUGACCCUUCCUCCUCCUCCUAUAUCAGAGCUAGGUUGGGGACCAGGUUUUCGAUUAAAUACACGGGCUGGGUUUCUAAGAACAUACGAAAACGAAACUACUUUAAGAAUAUUUUUAAGAUUCAAAUACGAUUAGAAAAAAAACAUAAUAGUAACAAAUUUAAGAAGAAGGUCAGAUUUCUAUACAAAUGAAAACAAAAUGCACACAAAACAAAUAAACAACACAUAAAUUCCGUGUGUCCCUAGAAAAAUAGAAAAUUUAAAAGGUACAUGCAAGGACAAUUUUGUAAGGGAGGGAGUGUUCAAUCUUUGCACCGUUCCUAGAAAUACCAUUAUUUGAAUACAAAUUACUGACAUGUUGCAAUUACCUGAACAGUGUGAUUUAAGGGGAUCCAUUCCUUGUGCAUUUAAUCGAAAAACUGGUCUUUCCUUUUUAUUUGUAGGAGGGCGAGCAUUUAACAUUCUCUGAGUAAAAACGUUGGUUUGAGGUCACACUAACAAUCAACAAAUUAAUUGAUCAAUAUCAAAUAAUCAUCUCUCUUUUCGUUAUGCAAACUGUCAAUCAACCAACCAAUUAAACUUUAAUGAUAAAUGAAUGAUAAAUUCGUCAACUUUGACAUAAUGCAAAAUUUCAAUCAAAACAACCAACAUAGCCACAUGUAGAUAUCCGUAAUGUUAUUUUUAAUCAUGCUACUAUUGUUGAUGAGAACUGUUUACAUAUGUCUGAUAAUGAAAAAAUGAUAUUUCUUUUUACAAAUGAAAGUAUGGUAUUUUAUGCUGCCAAAAUCUGCAAUGAAAUUUUAUUAAAGCGAAAAAAGAAUUUUAAACUCUUGAUAGUUGACUUGUAUUUGUAUUAUACUUAAAAAAUUGUUUUAUAGUUUCUCAUAACUCUUUAUAGAGUGGCUCUUUUUGUUAUCUUGUUUUUUACUAUGCUGUAUAUUUUAUAUGUAACAAGUGGUAAGACUUUAAUAAAGUAUUUUUCUUGUUU